rnacentral:rRNA from 1 species
CUGCGAAUGGCUCAUUAUAUAAGUUAUCGUUUAUUUGAUAGUACCUUACUACUUGGAUAACCGUGGUAAUUCUAGAGCUAAUACAUGCUAAAAAUCCCGACUUCGGAAGGGAUGUAUUUAUUAGAUACAAAACCAAUGCCCCUCGGGGCUCUCUGGUGAUUCAUGAUAACUCGUCGAAUCGCACGGCCUUGCGCCGGCGAUGGUUCAUUCAAAUUUCUUCCCUAUCAACUUUCGAUGUUUGGGUAGUGGCCAAACAUGGUGGCAACGGGUAACGGAGGGUUAGGGCUCGACCCCGGAGAAGGAGCCUGAGAAACGGCUACUACAUCCAAGGAAGGCAGCAGGCGCGCAAAUUACCCAAUCCCGAUACGGGGAGGUAGUGACAAUAAAUACUGAUACAGGGCUCUUUUGGGUCUUGUAAUUGGAAUGAGUACAAUUUAAAUCCCUUAACGAGGAACAAUUGGAGGGCAAGUCUGGUGCCAGCAGCCGCGGUAAUUCCAGCUCCAAUAGCGUAUAUUAAAGUUGUUGUGGUUAAAAAGCUCGUAGUUGAAUCUUGGGCCUGGCUGGCCGGUCCGCCUCACCGCGUGUACUGGUCCGGCCGGGUCUUUCACUCUGCGGAACCACAUGCCCUUCAGUGGGCGUGGCGGGGAAGCAGGACGUUUACUUUGAAAAAAUUAGAGUGCUCUAAGCAGGCCAAUGCUCGGAUACAUUAGCAUGGAAUAAUAAAAUAGGACGCGCGGUUCUAUUUUGUUGGUUUCUAGGACCGCCGUAAUGAUGAAUAGGGACAGUCGGGGGCAUCAGUAUUCAGUUGUCAGAGGUGAAAUUCUUGGAUCUACUGAAGACUAACUACUGCGAAAGCAUUUGCCAAGGAUGUUUUCAUUAAUCAGGAACGAAAGUUAGGGGAUCGAAGACGAUCAGAUACCGUCGUAGUCUUAACCAUAAACUAUGCCGACUAGGGAUCGGACGAUGUUAUUUAGUUGACUCGUUCGGCACCUUACGAGAAAUCAAAGUGCUUGG